rnacentral:rRNA from 1 species
UACGUAGGUGACCAGCGUUGUCCGGAUUUACUGGGCGUAAAGAGCGCGCAGGCGGUCGUUCAAGUCGAGUGUGAAAGCCCCCGGCUCAACUGGGGAGGGUCACUCGAUACUGAUCGACUUGAAGGCAGGAGAGGGAAGCGGAAUUCCUGGUGUAGCGGUGAAAUGCGCAGAUAUCAGGAAGAACACCCGUGGCGAAAGCGGCUCUCUGGAACGGUACUGACGCUGAGACGCGAAAGCGUGGGGAGCGAACAGG